rnacentral:rRNA from 1 species
AGAGUUUGAUCCUGGCUCAGGAUGAACGUUGGCGGCGUGUCUGAAGCAUGCAAGUCGAACGGGUAUGCCUUUGAACCUUCGGGGGAUUAGGAAUUACAUACUAGUGGCAAACGGGUGAGUAACACUUUGGUAAUCUGCCCUAAAGCAGGGAAUAAGCCGGAGAAAUUCGGUCUAAUACCCUAUGUGCUUAUGAAAUUAUUUUUCAUAAGUAACGGUAUUUCGCUUUAGGAGGGGCCUAAGUCCUAUCAGCUUGUUGGUGUGGUAAAAGCGCACCAAGGCUAUGACGGGUAGCUGGUUUGAGAAGACGACCAGUCACAUCGGGACUGAGACACGGCCCGGACUCCUACGGGAGGCAGCAGCUGAGAAUAUUGCGCAAUGGGGGAAACCCUGACGCAGCGACGCCGCGUGAAUGAUGACGCCCCUCGGGGUGUAAAAUUCUUUUCUUUGGGAAAAUAAUGAUGGUACCAAAGGAAUAAGAGGUUGCUAACUCUGUGCCAGCAGCAGCGGUAAUACAGAGACCUCAAACGUUAUCCGGAUUUAUUGGGCGUAAAGCGUCCGCAGGUGGUUUAGUUAGUCAUUCGUGAAAUCUAGGAGCUCAACUCCUAGCCCGCGGAAGAUACUACUAAACUAGAGACUUAUAGAGGCACACGGAAUUCCCGGUGUAGUAGUUAAAUGCACUGAUAUCGGGAGGAACACCAAUGGCGAAGGCAGUGUGCUGGGUAAGUUCUGACACUAAUGGACGAAAGCGUGGGGAGCGAACGGGAUUAGAUACCCCGGUAGUCCACGCCGUAAACGAUGGGUACUAGGUUUCGGGGGUUCGACCCUUUCGGAAUCGUAGCUAACGCGUUAAGUACCCCGCCUGGGGAGUACGAUCGCAAGAUUAAAACUCAAAGGAAUUGACGGGAGCCCGCACAAGCGGUGGAGCAUGUGGUUUAAUUCGUCAAUAAGCGAAGAACCUUACCUGGAUUUGACUUCUAGCUGCAAGCUAUUGGAAACAAAAGCCGCUUUCGAAGGUGCUAGAUCAGGUGCUGCACGGUCGUCGUCAGCUCGUGUCGUGAGAUGUUGGGUUAAGUCCCGCAACGAGCGCAACCCCUGUCCAAUGUUACACUCUCAUUGGAGACUGCCGGCAUAUAGUCGGAGGAAGGUGGGGAUGACGUCAGAUCAGCGUGGCCCUUUGAUGUCCAGGGCGACACACGUGCUACAAUGGCUGGUACAAUGGGGCGCAUAACCGUAAGGUGAAGCAAAUCCCAUCAAAACCAGUCUCAGUUCGGAUUGAGGUCUGCAACUCGACCUCAUGAAGUUGGAAUCGCUAGUAAACGUGAAUCAGCCAUGUCACGUUGAAUACGUUCUCGGGCUUUGUACACACCGCCCGUCAAGUCAAGGAAGUCAGAAACGCUCGAAGUACUCCUUUUAGGAGUCCUAAGGUGGGGCUGAUGACCGGGGCUAAGUCGUAACAAGGUA